UCCAGACUCCUACGGGAGGCAGCAGUGGGGAAUAUUGCACAAUGGGGGAAACCCUGAUGCAGCCAUGCCGCGUGUGUGAAGAAGGCCUUCGGGUUGUAAAGCACUUUCAGCGAGGAGGAAAGGUUGGCAGCUAAUAUCUGUCAGCUGUGACGUUACUCGCAGAAGAAGCACCGGCUAACUCCGUGCCAGCAGCCGCGGUAAUACGGAGGGUGCAAGCGUUAAUCGGAAUUACUGGGCGUAAAGCGCACGCAGGCGGUUGGAUAAGUUAGAU
rnacentral:rRNA from 1 species